rnacentral:rRNA from 1 species
UGCAGUCGAGCGGUAGAGAGGUGCUUGCACCUCUUGAGAGCGGCGGACGGGUGAGUAAUGCCUAGGAAUCUGCCUGGUAGUGGGGGAUAACGUUCGGAAACGGACGCUAAUACCGCAUACGUCCUACGGGAGAAAGCAGGGGACCUUCGGGCCUUGCGCUAUCAGAUGAGCCUAGGUCGGAUUAGCUAGUUGGUGGGGUAAUGGCUCACCAAGGCGACGAUCCGUAACUGGUCUGAGAGGAUGAUCAGUCACACUGGAACUGAGACACGGUCCAGACUCCUACGGGAGGCAGCAGUGGGGAAUAUUGGACAAUGGGCGAAAGCCUGAUCCAGCCAUGCCGCGUGUGUGAAGAAGGUCUUCGGAUUGUAAAGCACUUUAAGUUGGGAGGAAGGGCAGUUACCUAAUACGUGAUUGUCUUGACGUUACCGACAGAAUAAGCACCGGCUAACUCUGUGCCAG